UACGUAGGCAGCAAGCGUUGUUCGGAGUUACUGGGCGUAAAGGGUGCGUAGGCGGUUGUUUAAGUUUGGUGUGAAAUCUCCCGGCUCAACUGGGAGGGUGCGCCGAAUACUGAAUGACUAGAGUGCGGGAGAGGAGAGUGGAAUUCCUGGUGUAGCGGUGAAAUGCGUAGAUAUCAGGAGGAACACCGGUGGUGUAGACGGCUCUCUGGACCGUAACUGACGCUGAGGCAGAAGACGUGGGUAGCAACAGG
rnacentral:rRNA from 1 species